GGCGGCUGGACCCGGCGCGGGCGGGAGGCUCGGGCGGGCGGUCCGGCCCGGGACUCGGGUUUGGGCGACCAGGAGGUGCCGGUGGCCGCGCUCGGACCCGGUUCUCCAACGGAGGAGCUUUUUAACCUCUUUCCGGUGAGGUGGGAACUCAUCUUCAUGAUCGAAUUUAAAAGAACAAUGGAACCCUGACUACGUUUCAACAAAAAUAAAACUUGUUUUUUUCCCUCCUAUUGGGUGUUGGCUUUUAACUCUUUCAAAGCCGAUUUUGAAACGGCUGCAGUGAUACAUGCGAAGGUGACUUAAGAGAUUAAAAUUAAUUUGGUUGCUGUUGGUUCUGAACAAAUAAUGAGUUCUUUUAUUUGAGAAAUAUGAACCUCAAACUGAAUCCUCUAAAGGCCCCAUACAAUGAAGUAGACAUUGGUGGAAACAUUUAGUAAGUAUUAUUCAAUUUACAUGUUUAAUCUGUUUAGAAAUUUUAAAUACUACUUUGGAAAUUUUGAAAAUUCGAGUCAGAAUUGUAAAGAGGGAUUUAGUGAAACUCAACACAGUACAAGAAAAUCAACAUGGAAAUUUCGCUUAUUAAUUUACUCCAAUCUAUUAUUUUCUGCUUUCUUCACUUAGGCAAGUUAAAAUGCAAACAAACCCACAUUUGAACAUACCUCUAACACUAUUAUAAACAUGGAUGUUGCUAAAUGGUUCCUCUUUGUUUUUGUAAAUAAAGUUUUAUUGCAGCACAGCUAUACGCUUUCAUUUAGUUAUUGUUUGCCGCUGCUUUCUCAGUAUAUAGCAGCAGCAAGCAGAGGAGUUCUAUUGAAUGGCCUACAAAGCCUAAAAUAUUUCCUGUCUCAUCUGUAGGGAAAGUUUAUCCUAGGUCCUACAGCUUUUCCUUUUGUCAGCAUUGCCUUAACCUGUAUAGAACUCAGAAGCCCUUCGGUUCUCUUUUGGUAAUAGAACAUAAUUUUUAAUGAUUUCCAAUAUUAUAAUUACUUUUAAUUAAUUAAUUUUGAAGUUAAACUUGAAAGCCCAACAAAAAGUUCUUUAGCCUGAUUGUCCCUGAAGUUAUGCUUUGAUGUUAGAAGACAUGGUUAGCACCUCUGAAAUAGUUUUUCUAACAGCCUGAAAAAUAGUUGGAAAGAGUUGAUGGGAAGGUUGUAUAAAUGAAUUUUGGUGAAUUCUCAACAUGAUUUAUUUAUUUUUAUUUUAUUUUUCGAGACAGAGUUCCACUGUCACCCAUGCUGGAGUGCAGUGUCAUGAUCUUGACUCAUCGCAACCUCCGCCUCUGGGGCUCAAGCGAUUCUCCUGCUUCAGCCUCCAGUGUAGCUGGGAUUACAGUCACGCACCACCAUUCCCAGCUAAUUUUUGUAUUUUUAGUAGAGAUGGGGUUUCCCCAUGUUGGCCAGGCUGGUCUCGAACUCCUGACCUCAGGUGAUCCACACGCCUCAGCCUCCCAAAGUGCUAGGAUUACAGGUGUGAGCCACCGCACCUGGCCAACAUGAUUUAUUAUUGACAACCUUUUUGGUAAUUAUAUAUUAGCUACUUCAUAAAAAUAAUUUUUUUGAAUCAUAUUUGGGAAUCUAGAUUUUAGAUGAUAAUUUUUGCCUAUGGCUACUUUAGCUUGCGUUGUGUAAAUGGCUGCUAGGGCCUGCGAAAUAGAUUUUAUUUUUGGAGGGGGAUUUGUUUUUCAAUACAGGAUGAUGAAAGAGAUGAAAACUUUUCUAAUAUAGUACAAUAAUUGGCUGUGGUCAUUUUAAAGGGAUCAGUUGCAUAGCAUAUAGUAGAUGCUCAAUAAAUACUUAGUGUAUCAAUAUGGCUUCUGUUAAACAUUGUUUAUCAGCUAGUGUUUUGGAUUUAAUUUAAAAACAGUGACAUUGACUAUUAAAACAUGUUUUAAUGAAUUAAAUAUAAAAUUGUAGGUAUGCCUGAAAGCCAAAGUUUUGACCAAGUAAAAAUUAAAAGUGACAAGAUUUCAUUUUUUCUCUGCAAUUCUCAAUCUCUUAGUUUGCAUAUAUAGUCAACUUUUAAACCAUUGAGGACGGUACCGGAAUAUUUGAUUUGAUUGUAAACCUUAAAUAAGAUGACUCCUUUUCUUAGUUGUCACAAUUGACAUUAAUUUUAUAGUUAGUUUUUAUGCCCAUAAGACCCAGACUUGUUAAUAUAUAUUCUACUGAAGAUUCAAGGUAUCUUGGUAAUAAGUCAACAUAUGUGAAUUUACUUCUCAGGGCUUCCUUUUUUUUUUUUUUUCCCCUGAGACGGAGUUUCACUCUUGUUGCACAGGAUGGAGUGUGGUGGCGCGAUCUCAGCUCACUGCAACCCCUGCCUCCCGGGUUCAAUUGAUUCUCCUGCCUCAGCCUCCCCAGUAGCUGGGAUUACAGGCAUGUGCCACCACGCCCAGCUAAUUUUUGUAUUUUUAGUAGAGAUGGGGUUUCACCAUGUUGACCAGGUUGGUCUCGAACUCCUGACCUCAGGGGAUGUGCUGGCCUUGGCCUCCCUAAGUGAUAGGAUUACAGGUGUGAGCCACCGCACCCAGCCUCUCAGGGCUUUCUUGCAUAAAUAUUUCCACAUUUAAAGACAGUAGACGAAGAUUGAAAUCAUCAUAAGCACCAAGAAUGUUAAUUACAUGAUGAGAAGGAUGAAUUUUUGCUCUAGGUAAUUUUACACCUGUUUGUCCCAUCAUUGACUUUGAAAUAAGUGUUUUAAGUUUUAAAAUAAUUUGUUGCAUUAAUAAUAGUAGCUUUAUGAUAGCCAUCCAUUAAGACAAUUAGGAAUCACUAAUUUCUUUUUCCUUAUACUACUCUCUGCCCCUGCCCCCCGCCCCAUUUUUCUUUGCUAUUAAAAAUGGGAAAAGUUGCUGAGAAGUAGAGGAAAGGAGAUGGUUUAUUUUAGGAGAGCCCUUGUAAACUCAAUCCAGAUGGUGAAUCACUUACCUGUGUAUCCACCAACAAUGUAUUUUAUCAUGUCCCAGUGUUUUUGGAACAAAUUUACUAAAGUAGAAUUUAAAAAGAAUACCAGGCCAGGUGCAGUGGCUCAGGCCUGUAGUCCCAGCACUUUGGGGAGGCUGAGGGCAGGUGCAUCACAAGGUCAGGAGUUCGAGACCAGCCUGGCCCACAUAGUGAAACCCCGUCUCUACUAAAAUUACAAAAAUUAGCCAGGCAUGGUGAUAUGCGCCUACAGUCCCAGCUACUUGGGAGGCUGAGGCAGGAGAAUCGCUUGACCUGGGAGGUGCAGGUUGUGGUGAGCCGAGGUUGCGCCACUGCACUCCAGCCUGAGGAACAGAGAGAGACUCCGUCUCAAAAAAAAAAAAAAAAAACCUUAGUUGGGUGCAGAGGCAUGUACUUGUGUUCUCAGCUACUGGGAAAGCUGAGGUGGGAGGAUCUCUUCCACCCAGAAGUUUGAAACCAGCCUGGGCAACGUAGUGAGACCUCCAUCUUAAAAAAUAAUUAAAAAUACAAUGAAGAGAAUACCUCCAUGUUCAACUUUAUGUUCUUCUGGAUGUAUGAUAAUGCGGGAAUUUUAAGGGGUAGUAGUUACUCAUUGAAGCUUUGUUGCCAUUUAAGUUUUUACCUUUGCUGUGGGAAUGGUACUCUUAGAACAUGCACAUUAUUUUGAAAAGGAAGUAUAAACUAGUGAAUAUCAAAGGGGAAAAAUUUUGUUAACCAUUUAUAUUAUGAGCUUGAAGGUUAUAUGUGAAAUACAGAAAAGAUCUAGGUUUGUCUGAUUAUGGAAUUCUAGAUCAAAACAUGUCUUCCAUGUCUGCAGUAAUUCACAAGUUACUGGAAAGGAACAUGUAGAGGGUUUUGAUAUCUAAACCCUACCCAGUUUUCUGUAGGAUCUUGAUUUUAUUUUAAUGCAAGACUGCUGACCCCAUGAUCCUGUGUGUUCUUCAGAGAUACUCUUACUGAUGAUGUAUAAAUGAACUUUGAUUCAGUAAGGUCAGUUUGUAGGUCUCAAAGUACUUUGGUUAUUGUGGUACAUCAGAAUGAUAGCUAGUAUUUACUGAGAUCUUUCUAUAUGUCAGGUAAUAAAAAUCCUAUAAAAGUAUUCUUUCUACAGCCACAGGAGGUAGGUACUAUUUUUAUUUUACAGAUGAAGAACUGUGGAUUUUGUUUCUAAGAAAAUUUCCAGGCUCACAGAACUAAGCCUAAUUUCUUUUUAUUUUUUAGCAAAUACAGUUUUUAUAAGAAUUUGAAUUCUAUGAAAAUAAAUGGAUUACUCCUAAAUCUCUGAUGCCUCAGUGAACACUUUUUCCUUAUUAACAAAAUUCUCACUUUUGGCUUUGGAUUGGCUUUGCAGGAGUGCAGAUUGAUCAUAGCUUUUUUCAUGUCCUAAGAGUUGUCAGAGUUUUCUCUUGUAGCAUUUUUUUCUUUACUUUUUUUUUUUACUAUCUUUAAAUAUAUGACUGUAAGAGUAUGAUAAAUAUGCUGUUUUCUAAUCUCUGCUGUUGUCACAUAAACUAAUAUAUUUUGAGUAAUUUUGAAAUGAUAUUAAUAAUGUCAUUAGAUUUUCUUUGGAUUUUUUGAAAAAAAUAAUGGUUUUAGAAGGAAAUCUGGAUAAAUUUUAUCUCUGUCCUGUGUCAGAAAAAUAUAAAACUUGAGUUUUUUAAAUUAAGGUACUAAGAUAAAUAAAUUGCAUCUAUAGAUAUUGAAAUAUGACUGUAAUUUGAUAAUGCAUUUUCAUUCUCAGUGUCAUUGUUCAUCAUAAUAGUAUUUACAUCACCAACUUCAUUUAGAGCUUGAAUCUUGUAACAAUAGAGAUUGAAAAUAAAUUGGUUUAUAAUUAACUCUGACAGAGAAUGAUGUUUUUACUUUUAUACUUCUCUAUAGAAGUACAUGUCCCUUAAUUUUAAGGAAUGAACAAGUCAGAUGGAAGAUUUUUACUGAGAUCAGGAAUGAAUUGAGUAAUUUAGUUUUCUUUUUAAAGCUGGGGAGAAAUGAGCAAAAUCAAGGAGAAAUAUCUUGCUUUUGAUAUUUAUUACUGAUGCUGUGACACUCCCUUUAAUCAAUGUUUUUUAAUAUGGGUGGCAGUAUCUCAGUUAACCAAAUAGUUAAGUAAGUAGAUUUUUGUAUUGUAUAUAGUAAACAGUAUCCUAAUUGUUGCCAAGGAGACAAGGAAUUACCUAAUGGGCAAAAAUGCCCUUAUAUUUAUUUACCUCAAAUUCAGUCACACUUGACUGUAUCUCCACAAAUUCAGAUGGAGAGCUGGAAAAUUUAUAGAGAAGACCAGGGUUUAAAUCUUGUUUUUUCAAAUUAUGUUUGGUCAUGAUGAAUCUGAAUCAUUUAUUUAAUGAUAAAAUCAUCUGACUUCUCACUUCUCACUUCUCCCUUCAGUUAAAAUUAUUUAAGUAAUGGAUUUGUUUUUCUAUGAGAGACAUUUGGUAUUUUGGUAAUGAAAGUGUAUUAUUUUAGUUGCAUAUAAUUUGAAAACAGCAUUUUAUGGCAAAUCUAUCAAGCCAGGCAGAUACUUUGCAUUUUUGAUCUUUUUUUUUUUUUUUUUUUUUUGGUGGCUACAUCUUUUCUGUAUUCUCAGAUAUGUCGUUAAAGAUGGUGCCACCUAUAGUGGCCAUUUUCGUUAUCUAAACAAAACCAACAUCUGUUGGAUUGAAAAACUAUGCUAUGAUCGACUGCUUUAUGUGUGUAUGUUUUUUUUUUUUUUCAAAUCCCUUAAGAUUCUUUUCUAUAAUUAGUUUUCUUUGAAGAAGCUUGGAAAGUUUUCUGCAUUGAGAUUUAGAAUCCACAGUGUUUCUGUAAUUUAGCUUUCCAGGAAUUUUGAAUUUUAAUUUUUGUUUUUACUUUUUAUGUACACAGUAUAAUGAUGUUAGUGUUAAAUAUUAAAAAUCUGACUCUUCACUGGGACUUUUUUAUAGAUACAAAUGUAUCUGUGGUAGUACAAGGACUUUGUUACUUUGGCGUGCAGUCUUAUCAAGGAGUUGUGUGUGUGUUUUGCAUACAACUUUACAAUUUCAUAGUUGAAAGCUGUUACAAAAUGAAAGUUUUGUGUAUGGUAGGAUAUCUUCAAGGUGGGUGGAUGUUUUCUGUUUAAAAGAUUAAGAUGCCAACAGCGUUUUUUUCUUUUAAUUUUUUCAUCAAGCACCCAGUCAGCUUGAAGAGUUUCAAAUGGACCCUACCACUGAGAAAUCAAGAUGGCAGUCUACUAUGGGGAAUUGAGGAAAAAUGGAUUAAUACAAGAGUCCUGUGAUAAUAUACAACCAAGACAGGGUUCUUUUAACAUGGAUUCCAUGCAGUGAAUGAAGACAUAGGUUUCUUACCCAACACAAAUGGACAGUGGAUUUGACUUUCUAAAGACUUUUUUUGUGGACAUUUUGACAUUUGGAGAAGAAAGAUGGCACACUAACCCAGAUAAUAGUUUUUAUGCCUGGAAUUUUUUGCAGUUUGAUUUGUAUGCGUAUGACCUCUUGAAAUGUUAAUUUUUAAUAAAAUUUGUAACA
rnacentral:lncRNA from 1 species